UUAGUCUUUUAAUUGAAGACUGGAAUGAAAGAGUUUACCUAGAGAAAUUUUUUUAAGUUAAGAAAAUGAAGUUUACUUUUUAGUAAGAAGGCUAAAAUAUUUCUUUUAGACAAGAAGACCCUAUAAAACUUUAUAUUUCUUCAAGUUUAGAGUUUGUAGAAGUAUUUCACUGGGGUGGUGGGGAAAAGAGCUUUCCUUGAAAAAUUAAACAAGCAUGUUUUUGUUUCUAGAAUUUCUAAAAAAGGAAUGAGUUACUUUAGGGAUAACAGCUUUAUUCACUUAGAAAGUUCAAAUCGACAAGUGAGUUUAUGACCUCGAUGUUGAAUUAAGAGUCCUUUUUUAUGAAGUAGUU
rnacentral:rRNA from 1 species